rnacentral:lncRNA from 1 species
AGUUUGAUAUAUAUUACGAAACAAUUUGGAGUGUUAAUUAAGAUUUCAAAUCAAUAACGAUUAAACAGAAGAAAACAUUGUAUCGACCACUAGAGGCUUUUGUGUCUAGCCAAUUAUGGACUGAGGAUGAGGUUUUGGACCACGUUUAUGAAAAAUUUGUGACAGGCUGUUAGUAAGGAAAUAGUAUAACCGUAUAACUAUCUACUAUAUAAUAGCGUCGCUUAACAGGAAAAAGACUAUACGAUUUUUUUUAAUAAAGUUAUAAACUUUAAUCAUCAACCAGCUAGCACUUGAUUACCGUUAACCGAAAUUAGACAAAGGGACAAGGAGUUGCUUAGUCUCUGUCAGGACCACGUACAUAAAAAGAUAUAGAUUAACUAUAAGUGAAAACAAUCAAUUUACCUAGUUAUAUCAAGGGUUUGGAACUAUGCUGACAUUGUUAAAGCAUGCAUCUCUAACUAAAAAAAUAUUGAACGACAAAAAAAAUAUUGAAAAAUAAAAAUAAAGACAGGAAAGGAAAGGAAAGGAAAGAUAAAUAAAAAGGUUCUUUUUUGACAAAAACUGUAAAAACAUUAUGAUACAUGUUUUUAUCACUUAUCACUUUAUGAUUAGUUUGUUUUUAUAAUCUAAAUUUUAAUUAAUUUAUGAUAAAAUUAUUAUUGUUAUAUAUAUCAUAGAUAAUGAUGUGUUCAUAAAUUUCAUAAAAUUUUCACUUUAAAACUAUUGAUCUCUUUUUACUUCUUUGAUAAAUUAAGAAUCCAAAGAAAAACUUCGGUUGGAGAUGGCUUUCCAAGCUGUUUGUAU